UCACCUUCUUUAUGACUCCCUCUCUCGCAGCAGUAAACAGAAAGUAUGAAACCGCUCCAAAUUCUCUCCCUCUCGGUCAUGUUAGAGUUUUCUGCUCUGUUUGGUCACUGAGAAAACAAAAAAGGAAAAGGAAACUAAGAAUCUUUCCUUCAUUUUUUAAUUUGUUAGUCUUUGUAGUAUCCGAGCUUUAAAUUCAUCUUCAUUUUCUCGGGAACCAAACAGGAGCCAGAGAAAAAUUUGUAAAGAUUUGAGUGCUUCCUGUUUGUUUAUAGGCGAAAGAAAGUGAUGAAGUGUGGUUUCUUGGAGCUACAAUGCCGAACCAGAGGCUGCACUCAUGUUUUACAGUGAUUGUGUUCUUGGCGAUUCUUGCUUUGCAAGCUUGUGCUUCUACUAAUCCUCCUGAUGUCAUUCAUAGCACUUCAAGAUCUAUACAAGGCAGGAGUAACCCCCCCCCAGCUAAAGGGAGAUCCAUGUAGGGAAUCAUGGACUGGAGAGUCAGGAAUAUGUAAUUUUUUUUCCUCUGCGUUACUCUCAGGAAUAUCCAAAGCAAUCACUUUAGUGGUGUAGUUCCAACACAAUUUCAGCUAAUUCCCAAUCUAUGGGGCAAAUUAUCCUGCCUGGAAACUUCCUUUGGAUAAUGGAUCCAUUUGGAAAAAUUGUAAUGGUCCCUCAUCGACCGAGUCAAGUGCCAUUGAGAAUUAUCUCAAGGUAAAAAGGACACAAGAAGAAAAGACUGGGCCCUGGUGGAAAAGUAAGAUUGUUAAAAUGAAGGCUUUUGAAAGUGCUAUUGGUGACACUGGCUAUAUUGCUCCUGAACAUGAGGAACCAGUAACUGACAACACAAAGGGUGACAUUUAUGCGUUUGGAGUGUUGCUUUUGGAGCUAUUAACAGGAAGGAGGGGGCCUUUUGAUAGGUCGACUUUAUCCCCCCUGCCUCAACCAAAUUGUCGAAUAAUAUUCUGAUAUACUUGGUGCUUAUUUGCUAAGAAUUCUGUCUCUAACACAGCUCAAGACCGAGAAAAGAGCAAUCUUUGGUGAAAGGGGCUUCAUCUCGGCUGCAUGACAAUGAGUUUAAUUCAGAUGGUUGGUCCAGGCAUAAAGAACAGUCUCCUCCAAGACCCUCUCUCGGUUAAUUUGCAGAUGUCGUCUCACUGUGCAUUCAGUCUGAGAAGUUCUUCCGCCCACCUAUGUCUGAAAUUGUUUCAUCACUGACAAGUCUGCGGCAAAAAUUCACUGCUGCAAAAAGUGGUGCAAUGGAAGGUGCUGAAGUUGACCAUUUUGAGAGGUCUUUCCGUUCAACUAAUACCCGCUUCAUAACCUCACCAACACCAAGUUACAUUUCGGUUUGACUUUUGCAAUCGGUCAGCUGAUUCAGGAAAUGAUUUACUGUCAGAAGCAUUGUACGAGCAUGAUAUUUGCAAUUCCAGUUAACUGCUUUUAGUACAAGAUCCUUAGCAAUCAAGCAAUUGCUGCAUGGCUUUCCAUUACAUGUAAUAUCAGUGUUAGCAUAAGGAAUUAACCUCUCUGAUUCAUGUACUGUGAUUUACGGAGUUUAUUUUCCAACAUUAGACCUCUCUAACCUUUAAAUGUCUGAAAGUAACAGCCCGAAGCCAAUCGGAAGCUAAA